rnacentral:rRNA from 1 species
AAUUGGAGGGCAAGUCUGGUGCCAGCAGCCGCGGUAAUUCCAGCUCCAAUAGCGUAUAUUAAAGUUGUUGCAGUUAAAAAGCUCGUAGUUGAAUUUCGGGAUUGACACAUCGGUCGUGCCUUAAGGGGUAUGAACUGGUGUAAUCAAUUUCUCACCUUCUGGAGAACGGCGAUGCCCUUAAUUGGGUGUCGCGGGGAACCAGGACCUUUACUUUGAAAAAAUUAGAGUGUUUAAAGCAGGCAUUUUGCUUGAAUACAUUAGCAUGGAAUAAUAAAAUAGGACGGCAUGAUUCUAUUUUGUUGGUUUCUAGGAUCACCGUAAUGAUUAAUAGGGAUAGUUGGGGACAUUAGUAUUCAAUUGUCAGAGGUGAAAUUCUUGGAUUUAUUGAAGACUAACUACUGCGAAAGCAUUUGCCAAGGAUGUUUUCAUUAAUCAAGAACGAAAGUUAGGGGAUCGAAGACGAUCAGAUACCGUCGUAGUCUUAACCAUAAACUAUGCCGACUAGGAAUCAGACGAUGUUAAUUUUUUAAUGACUCGUUUGGCACCUUACGGGAAACCAAAGUGU